rnacentral:rRNA from 1 species
AUGCGGGUCACCGACGGGCACUCGCUGGGGGAGGACGCGGCCGCCGUCGUGGGGCAAGCGGUGAGCCUGGCAGCGCGGCGGGGGCACGCGCAGGUCACCCCGCUCCACAUCGCAAGCGCAAUGCUCUCGUCCCCGGCGCCAGCAAGCAUCCUUCGCGCCGCGUGCAUCAGGUCGCAGUCCCACCCCUUGCAGCACAACUUGCUCGACCUCUGCCUGGACCUCGCCCUCGGCCGCCUCGUCGUGACUGUGGCCCACCACGGUGGCGACCCGGCGCCGUCCAACGCGUUUGUCGCCUUACUGAAGCGGGCGCAGGCGCGCCCGUGCCGGCGCACGGGCGGGGCCGGGGGAAAGGUCGAACUUGAGAAGCUCGUCGCCUCCGUCCUUGACGACCCCAGCGUCGACCGCGUCAUGCGCGCGGCCGGAUUCUCGAGCUCCCAUGUCAGGGCCAGCGUUGUCGCUUCGUUGGAGCAAUCAACAAGAGCAGGCUGCGACGUCGUCGCGCCUUCUCCAAAUCCGGUUGCCGACGGGAUUAUCGCCGGAGGAGGUCAACCAUCUCUCCAGACCGUCCCGGUCGGAAGUGGGUGUCAACCUAGCAAAGCAAAAUCAGGAGCAGGGCGACUGGCCACCUUUGGCGGCACCGAGCCGGACAAAACGACGGCAAGCUUUCCUCCGUGGCUCCGCCGCUUCAAAGAUAAAACUCCCAACAGAUUAACCUACAGCGGCACCAGUCUUCAAGCAAACGCUGCUUGCCGCCUGCGGAAGUUCACGGAGCUCACCGCAACAAAUCUCAAGAUCCUCUGUGCCGCGCUCGAGCUGCGUGUUCCGUGGCACGGGAGCAUCGUCCCCGGCAUAUCGAGCACGGUGCUCCGGUGCCGAUCCGGCGUGACGAGGACUAAGCCGUCUGGCACGUCGUCGUCGACCUGGCUGUUCUUCCUAGGAAGGGAUGGUGGCGGCAAGAUGGCGGUUGCUCGGGAGCUCGCGAGGCUCGUGUUUGGCUCCUACGCCGAGUUCACCGCCUUGCAGGUGCAGGGUAACGCCGACAUUCCCACACACGGCAGCAAGCUUGCCCUCAAGAGGCCGAGAUCAACGGAAACCAGCAACGACGGCAACCUCAGGGCCAGGCUCUUCAAAGCGGUCGGGGAGAACCCUCACCGCGUUAUAUUGAUCGACGGCGUCGACUGA